GGUCUUGAAAAGGUUUCUGGCUGUGGUCUACUGCCUCAGUCCUGGCCCUGGCCCUGGCCCUAGCCCUGGCC
rnacentral:miRNA from 1 species